GCCCUGUCCAGGAUCUCCCACCACAGCAUUGCACAGAUCAAAGGGAUCAGGCCCUUUCCUUCAGAGGACACUGCUCUAAAUGAGGAUGAUGUGUACCGGAGUCUUGAGGAGCUAGCAGAUGAGCAUGACGUGGGGGAGGAUGACAUCUACGACUGUGUUCCCUGUGAGGACGAUGGAGAUGACUUCUACGAGGA